CCCCAUUCUGCGAAGUAAUUUUGUCCUAGAAUAUGACAUGGUUUAAUGCCAGUCUUGCCCCGAUGGGAUUUAUGCAUCUAUAGUCUGCAUGGCAUGUGAGGUGGCAAGUCAAGGAAGCAAGCCUUGCACUUGGAAUGAGGUAAGCAGCUUGGUGGCAUUUCAAAGAUGAAAUGCUCUAAUGAAACACCCUGGAAGCUGAUGAGGAGACUUAUACAACAACGCUUCUUCCUCCAAGCACAUGAGAAAUUGCACCCUGCUUUGGAGAGCUAAGCAGGCUUUGAUACAAGGGAAGCUGCAUGAACUAGCCUGUAUCUGGAAUUGAUGGGGGUCUUGUUUGGAGCUGCUUUUUACCUUGCCUUAUGAAGAAAAGUGUGCCUAGCAUCAAAGCCUUCUGUGGAAUGAAGUUUUCUGGUCUGAUUUGAUGUUGUUAAAGUCACCGCAGAAUCCACUGACCUAACUCAAUGAUCUUAUGUCCCCUAUCAACUCACUCCAAAAAAAUUUUGAAAAACUUCUGUGUUUUUGGUGGAUUUUAUUUUAUUUUUUUUGUUGUUGUUUUUUCCAAGUGCUGCAAUCUGCGCUCUCAAAGCUAAUAAAACUGAAAUAGCUGGUAUGGGGAUUUUAUCCAAGUCCUGGCAGCUGAAAACUGAUGAAGGCCUUCUGAUUUCAUGUUUACCAAACCAUGCCACUUAAAUGCAGAAGUACCAAAAGGAUCUUGAGUGUGCUGGGGCUUUUACACAACUGAAAGCCUAAUUCAGAACUCAUUAAACCAAGAGAAUUAUAUACUGAUUUUGGUAACCUGUAGUAAACUUCAUUAGCAAAAAACCUGCUCUGCAGCAUUUAAGGGAACAGAAGUUUAAACUGUAUAUAACACAACCAAGAGUGCAAGACAAUUGAAAAAGUGUUCAAAAGAAAGCAGAAAAGAGAGGAUGAAGUUUCAAAACGAUGUGUAAAUCCAUGGCCUGGAUGAGAGAGAGAGAAGUACAGCUUCGUGUGCCAGAAGCUGCGGAGGAAGCGCUGUUUGCACCAACAGGGAGCAGACUGUGUGCACAUACUGCUUCAGGAAAACAGACACCAAGGAGCCCUCAAAGACCAUUCUCUACAGGAACGAGCCCUCCUUUGCAGCCCAAUGGCUCUUGAGCUAUCAGACUUUGAAUUCAAGACUCAGUUUUUAGGAGCAGUGUUAGUUUUAUGUAAUCCUGUCAGGUUUUAAACUGUAUCAUUAUUUCAGAAGCAGUGCCUGAAGGGCACAUUAUUUCUUAAAAAGAAAAACAAAACUUCUCCUCUCCUCACCUAGGAAGAACAAAUUUGAUUAAAGUGACCAUCUGUGAUUUCUUGUACCUGUAUGAGCCCGGAAGGUCUCCUGAGAUGCAGGAACUGUAAGGCUGCCAUGAACCUUCUUUUCACCAGGCUGCCCAAGUGAAGUUCUCUCAGCCCAGGAGAGGUGUUCCAGCCUUCUGAGCACCUUCCUCUGGACAGGCUCCAACAGAUCCGUGUCUUUUCUCUACAUUCCUACCUAUUGGUCAACCGGUCAAAUGUCUUUUGUUUAGCUGCCCUUCCCUUCUUCUCUCUGCUUUGAGCACUGCACAAGAACCCCAGAGUGGAUAGCUUUCCCAGAUGGGUUGAGGAUCUCCCUUGAAAUGCCAGGAUGGCUGCUCAGCAGAUGCCAGUAAAGACCACUCACAAAGCCUGGAGGCUGAGGACGGUGCUCACAGAAACAUGGAAUCCUCAGCAACGAACUCCAAGUCUGAUCUACUGUAAAGACUGACAAAUAGAAAGUGUGUGAAAUUGUGUCAAGUUGUUUUUCUUGACUGUGGACUGGGGAAGCUGGAACUAGGAGCACCUGACAAUUCAAUCACAAGUGCUUGAGAGGCUGAUUGUCAACCACCCACGUCAUGUGUUCAAAUCAACCCCUGAUCCUCUCCCCAUCUGAGGAGCACUUUGGAUCAUUGGUCCUGGCUCAGCACCCACUGCCCUGUUGCCUUCAAUGCAAACCCAGCCAUCAACUGGUAUCAGUCUUGGAAGAUAUAGAGCUCUUCUUCUAUAGCCACUGAGUGUAACCUAUCAUCAGAUAUAACGUUUUUACAGUUAUCAGAAACAUAGGAAAAAAAGAAAGGAGGAUUCUUGUAUACAGCGCAUUCAGUAAUUAAUAAGUCAAUUUGUGCGUCAAAGAAGCAACAAUUUGUUCAAAAAUUUUCAAUCAUCUUAUCCAUCUGCCAAAGCAUUACUGAGUAUUCCAGGUUAUUUCUGUGACACAGUCCCAAACAACCCUGUUUUCAGUGGAAUCAGAAUGGAACCACUAAUUAUAAAGCUCUGGAGGGAAAUAGUGAGCGGGUUUGGUUUGGAAUUCCAAGGUCAAGACAGUAUUUGGAGUUACCUGAAAAGAUUUUAAUGCCCCCAUUUGGACUGACUGCUCCACACCAUCACACAGAAGAGGUCAGAUGGCCACUGCAGAGGUGUCUUGAUUUACAAAGCCCUAUGGCUUUUUCAUUAGCGGUGGUCUUCAAGACAGGACUUAGUGUUAUUUUCUUCUGACUCACAGAAUCAUAGAAUAUUCUCACUUGGAAGGACCAUGUCAUUCUUAGAAGAAAGAAGAAAAAGUUCAUCAUAGAACUUUACUUGGGAAGAGCCAUAACAUUGGAGACAGUAAAAAUCAAUUGAAAUAAAUACAUCAUUUGGAUGCAGACUGUGGUCAAGUCCAGACUAACUUUAUGCACCUGGUUCUGGAUUCAGCAGAACUCCUCUGGGAAGCUGUGAAGUGGAAUGCAAAAGGGAGAGAAGUGCAGCUGCCUGGUGCUGUGAUCUCCUCCUCUCUGUAAGUAUGUAAUUGUCCACCAGGAAUGAAGGAUAAGAGGACCAGCUUUCAGAAGGAAAAUAGAUUGAGGAGUUUGAGAGUGUUGUUGACAACAGAACUGCAGAAGUGCAUGGAGUGGAUGACGUGCUUAGAAAUGGAAAAAACUCCUAAAAUAUUUAGAAGCACAAAUAUCACUUCAAACUGUAUUAGGCAUCUGAAUUGGGGCUUUAUUGACUGAAAAUCACUAAUAAUAUGAAUUUUUUAAAUUCAAAUAUUAAUAAGUGUUUUGAAAACCACAGAAAUUUUGAAAUAUUGAAUCCAAUCCUUGAAUUAAGAUUUUUUCUUUUUUUAAAGUAGGUCAUGUAACAUCAUGAUACAUCAUGAGCUGGAAACAUUUGCAUCCUAGUAGACAGUUUGGGAAAUGCUUUAAAUGAACUUCUUGCAACUAGGUGUAUAACUUGAACUUGUAAAAUAUUUCUACCCUAAUUUUGUGGUUUAGAAAUGGUAUUCCCCAAAUUAGUGCUACCACUAAAAAACCCCCAAAAUUCAGGAGCCCCAGCCCUCCCCCGACAGAAAGCACAAAAGGCAGAGGUCGUGGGCUCAGGUAAGAACAAUUUACUGGAAACAGAAAUGAGCUACAACAGUAGCAGCGACAUUAUUAAUGGCAGAAGUAUAUAAAAAGAGAGGGUGAUUCACAUGCAAAAAUGCUCACUGCAGACCUCAGGUGACAAUGAACAACUGCAAACAGCUUCUCCCUCCCACCAUGGCCUUCUCAGAAGUAAGUGUCCCUUACCCCCAGCCCUGGAAUGACCUGAGGUGGUAGAAAACAACCAACCUGGCCAUGCCCACAUGGCUCCAGCUCUGCCCUCUCAUGGCUGGCACAAAAAGCUCGCUGUGUCUUGGCUGGAACCAGGGCAACCAAGAAGAUUUUUUCUGUUAGAAAACUGAAUAUAUUGUAGUGGAAAAAAAGAACUUUAGUCUUCAUGGAAGCAUACAUGUAAAUUACUUUUCUGAAAUAUCUUCACAGAUUCACAGAAUAUUCUGAGUUAAAAGGCACCCACAAGGACCAUUGAGUCUAACUCUUGAGUAAGUGAGAAAACAGUGGCAUUGCACACAUAUGUUAGAAAGAAUUUAAGUACCAAAAAUUAUGCUCAUGUGUACUCACAAAUAUAUUGUACAAAGAAAACAAAGGUCUAAACUUUGUUUAGCAUGAUCUUCUCUGCAGAAAGGAAGUUUUAGAGCAGAUUUAUUUGAAGAAGUAAAAUGCACUCUGUUAAACUCCAAGAUUUAGAGCACUCUAUUCAGGUGAUGCUAUUCCUACAGAAACAAAAUUGCUGCUGGCCCUUGCUGAGAUGUGGUAACUUAAUCUUCACAGUAGAUUCUACAAGAGACCACUUGUCCAGCACUGUCUGUGUCUGGAACAGUAGAUAUCUUACCUGGAAUAUUUCUGCAGAUUGUACACAUGCUGCAAAUUUAGAGGGGCACUAUAUUCUCAUGUGUUCUAGUACUGCAUGAACAGCACUGGCUGUUCCUAAUUUCAUAACCUCUCUUCAUGUGACAAAAUAAGGUGUGAUGGAUCUGUUCUUCAUCUUCACAUCUAGCAACAUGUAAGGAGACUGGAAAAGUUGCUGGAGAAAUAAACCUGAAUUGAUAAAAGCAUUUAGUGCACAUUUCUGUUGAAGAUGCUCUUUUAAGUUACUGGACAAAUCCUUUGAAUCCCAACCUAUCAGGGUAGAAAUGAGAAAAAAAAUGUAAUAGCAUUCAUUAAUUUAGUCUUCCAAUGUAAUUAGGUGAAAGAAAUAUUCAUUGUUGAAAGAAGUUACUUGUUAUUUGUUCUUUUCUUUUUACUUCAGGCCAUAUACAAAAAUAGUGACUCAAUCUUGCAAAAUCUGUUACUGUACUUUGAAUCUACAAAGAAAUAUGUGCAAUAAUUUAAUGGGGAAAAAAAUUAAGAAAAAUUCUCAUUUCUUUAUUUUGUCUUGAGCACAACAUCUUAACUUCAGACAAAAGUACAGUUACUUUAAGACUGCUUUCUAGUAGUACCUGGUGUAUUACAAUAUUUUUAAAAUUUAGUUUUCAUCUUUACUUGUAAAUAUGAAUUGUUCUCUACAAAGCAUGUCAUGAACAUAUGAAACAUUUUCUUUCGUUAUUUUCAUUAAAAUGUAUGUUCUCAUUGAUAAGGAGUCAGUGUGAUGUCUGGCAUAGCAAAGAGGGUGUCUGUAAUGCAAGAGUGUCAUCUAGUGAAUGAUUUGGGUGAAGGACAAAUGCCUCAGUAGCAGUCAGACUGUGAGUCAUGCCACAGGUACAGCUGAUUAGACAGCAGGAACACUCAGAGCAUUUUAAAACUUUCCUUCAGAUCAACUCUGAACACUAAAAAAGAAUUGUUUGAAAACAGUACUAUGAAAAGGAAAAGGAUAAUUUGUCAUUUACUGCUUCUACACCAUACAUAUCCUUCCUUAAGACCUUCUUAUCUCAUGUGCUAAAACAAUUCAAACUUGCAGUACUCAUGGAAUAAAUGUGAAGUAAAUUACAUUAGAAAGUCGAUUAGGAGCUUUCUUUUGCUAAAACAAGCUUAACCCUUAUCUGAGUUGUUGAAAACCUUAGACAUUAAUUUGCUUUACCUAGGAGAAAGUAAACAACUGCUUUCUGCAGAAGGGUGUGGAAAAAACCUCAAGCCAGGGAGAGUAUUUCUGUUGAGGGAUUUUUUAAUGCCUUUAAAAAAGUUAGUUAAAUUCUGCAGUAGUCUAUUUUAAUGACU